CAGUGGAGGGUUUGAUCCUGGCUCAGGACGAACGCUGGCGGCGUGCCUAACACAUGCAAGUCGUACGGGCCUGUGCCUUCGGGUGCAGGUCAGUGGCGGACGGG
rnacentral:rRNA from 1 species